rnacentral:rRNA from 1 species
CCUACGGGAGGCAGCAGUGGGGAAUAUUGCACAAUGGGCGAAAGCCUGAUGCAGCAACGCCGCGUGAAGGAAGAAGGGUUUCGGCUCGUAAACUUCUAUCAACAGGGACGAAAGAAAUGACGGUACCUGAAUAAGAAGCCCCGGCUAACUACGUGCCAGCAGCCGCGGUAAUACGUAGGGGGCAAGCGUUAUCCGGAAUUACUGGGUGUAAAGGAAGAGUAGGCGGCAAGGUAAGCGAUAUGUGAAAGCCUUAAGCUUAACUUAAGGAUGGCAUAACGAACUAUCUAGCUAGAGUACAGGAGAGGAAAGCGGAAUUCCUAGUGUAGCGGUGAAAUGCGUAGAUAUUAGGAAGAACACCAGUGGCGAAGGCGGCUUUCUGGACUGAAACUGACGCUGAGGCUCGAAAGCGUGGGGAGCGAACAGGAUUAGAUACCCGAGUAGUC